rnacentral:misc_RNA from 1 species
GUAUAAGAGAAGGGUGAGUCAUCGAAUCUUUGAACGCACAUUGCGCCCGCCAGUAUUCUGGCGGGCAUGCCUGUUCGAGCGUCAUUUCAACCAUCAAGCCCCGGGCUUGUGUUGGGGACCUGCGGCUGCCGCAGGCCCUGAAAACCAGUGGCGGGCUCGCUGUCACACCGGGCGUAGUAGAUUAUAUCUCGCUCAGGGCGUGCUGCGGGUUCCGGCCGUUAAAAAGCCUUAUUUCACCCAAGGUUGACCUCGGAUCAGGUAGGAAUACCCGCUGAACUUAAGCAUAUCAAUAAGCGGAGG